rnacentral:lncRNA from 1 species
AUGAGUGUCUCGAAAGACUCAUCGAUAUCAUUGAAUCAGCGGAGGAUCUGAAAAACUUGAUACCUAGUGAGCGGGUGGCAAAGCUUGUUAGAAUUCGCCUGGAAACACAGGCCCCGUACAUAUCAAAAUGGGCCCAAGCUCUCAGUAUACAGGUACUUCCUUAAAGCUUACAUCUUUUCAGGGCCCUUUCCUUUUUGGUUUGCAGAAAUUCAGACAACUUCUGAUUGUAGGCUCAACCCUUGAAUGUUCCUACAAGCUUCAAGCAGCGUGCAAUGCUGGUUGAUGAGAUCUGGCAUGCUGUUGGUGAUGAUGCCAGUGAAAUUGAUUGAUAUGUGAAGAAUUCGCUUGGAAACACAGGCCCCGUACAUAUCAAAAUGGGCCCAAGCUCUCAGUAUACAGGUACUUCCUUAAAGUUUACAUCUUUUCAGGUCCCUUUCCUUCUUGGUUUGCAGAAAUUCAGACAACAACUUCUGAUUGUAGUCCC